ensembl:misc_RNA Metazoa_SRP Metazoan signal recognition particle RNA
GCCAGGCAUGGUGGUGUGCGCCUGUAGUCCCAGCUGCUUGGGAGGCUGAAGCAGGAGAAUUGCUUGAGCCCAGGAGUUUGAGGCUACAGUGAGCUAUGAUUGUGCCACUGUACUCUAGCUUGGGUGACAGAGUGAGAUCCUGUCUCUU